rnacentral:rRNA from 1 species
UACGUAGGGUGCGAGCGUUAAUCGGAAUUACUGGGCGUAAAGGGCGCGUAGGCGGCCGAGCAAGUCUGGUGUGAAAGCCCAGGGCUUAACCCUGGAAGGGCACUGGAAAAUGUGCGGCUUGAGUGCCGGAGAGGAGGGGGGAAUUCCCGGUGUAGCGGUGAAAUGCGUAGAUAUCGGGAGGAAUACCGGUGGCGAAGGCGACCCUCUGGACGGUAACUGACGCUGAGGCGCGAAAGCGUGGGGAGCAAACAGG